GCAGCUAAGGGCUUGCUUCCUUAAAGUGCUUCGAAGAAUGGUACCGGAGAGGGAAAUUCGGAACAAGAUCAAUGAUCAAGCCAUGGACUAUGAGUGUCAAAGAGGAGAUGCAUUUUCAGAUGAAAUGGCUAUAGAAAACAUUGAAUCAAAGAGCCCUCUUGAUUGGUGGCGUUCCUAUGGUGGCUUGGCCAUUGACUUGCAAAGGUUUGCUAGGCGUGUUGUUGGUCUAUGUGCUUCCUCAGCUGGCUGCGAGCGAAAUUGGAGUACCUUUGAACAAAUCCAUACAAAGAAAAGGAACCGGCU